AUUGAACGCUGGCGGCAGGCCUAACACAUGCAAGUCGAGCGGAGCGGCGGGCGGGUGGGUAAUGCCUAGUAAUCUGCCUGGGAGUGGGGGAUCACGCCCGGAAACGGGCGCUAAUACCGCAUACUAUCAGAUGAGCCUAGGUAGGAUUAGCUAGUUGGUGGGGUAAAGGCCUACCAAGGCGACGAUCCAUAACUGGUCUGAGAGGAUGAUCAGCCACACUGGAACUGAGACACGGUCCAGACUCCUACGGGAGGCAGCAGUGGGGAAUAUUGGACAAUGGGCGAAAGCCUGAUCCAGCCAUGCCGCGUGUGUGAAGAAGGUCUUCGGAUUGUAAAGCACUGUUAGUUGGGAGGCGUUACCAACAGAAUAAGCACCGGCUAACUACGUGCCAGCAGCCGCGGUAAUAC
rnacentral:rRNA from 1 species